rnacentral:lncRNA from 10 species
GGCGCUGCGGGCAAGGGCGCGGGCACCUUCCCCGGCCUGGGAAGCACCUUCUCGACCUGCGGCCGACGGGGGCUUCCAGGCGGCUCCGGGGCCCGGAGAAGCUGGGUGCCGGGGCUGGGGGCUCUGCGCCCGGACAGCUGGGCCGAUCUGCAGAGGGGACCCUGGAGGGGGUGCAUGUGUCCCGGGGUGGACCGCUCCCCUCCCCUCCCCCUGGGAUUCCCUCCCCCAAAUCCAGGUUUCUCCCGUGGAUGGAGGUUCUUGGGAGUCUACUGAAAAGGAAACUAAGGGGUGGACAAGAGUUGGAAUGUGCCCGAAAUAUUUGGCUCUCGUGUGUGCUGCUUUCUGAACUGGCUCAGUACCAAAAGUUCUCAGCACCGUAAGGGGUACCGGGGUUGUGGGAUAGGGUGGUCAUCAGUGUGUUUCUUAUUAGGAGAGGCUGUUUCUGUAUAGGUAGCAACAGCGUUUCCUUUCUAAGGGCAUGGUUUUACCCUUAGUACAUUUCUGUAUCUAUAAAAGUCAGCUGUUAGAACAGGAGGGUACUGUAUUUAGCAACAAACCAUGUUGAGGUUGUCAUUUCUAAUCCCACGUGUGGCAGAUUUUCCGGUACAUCCACUGUGUUAGGUGCUACAGCUACCAAGGUGAGUAAGAUAGUCCCUGCUCUCAGAUACCUUACAGUCUAAUUAGGGCAUCAGCAGAAGAUUCAAAACAGUUUUUAUGUGCCUUUAAAAAAAAUCAAGUCCUCAUAAAAGCUAAGAAGAUGGUCUUGCGUCCUGAUUCAGUGGUGAUAUUUCUAUGGGGAGCUAAGGUUAUAGUCGAGUGCAUUAGUCCCUAAUCUAAUUCAGAACAAGAAUCAAACUUUGGGAACUGAGAUGAAAGGGUAUCUAACAGCCCCCUAGUCAGUCUUUCUCAGAUACCACUCCUCUCACCUGUCCUUUAUAAGAAUUGAAUAGCCCUUAGUUCAUGAAAGGGGGGAAUGAUGAGAGUCUCAAGUACUCGUCUUCUGUGCUGCUGAUGGAAAAGACAGUCUUUAUAUUUCAGAUGGCCUGGCAGCAGUGUUAGCAUUGUUAGAAAAAUCUAAAAGCUAGAUACUUGUUUAUUUAUACCUGGUCUCAUUCCACAAGGGAUUUGUGGAGUGUGAUUCAGUAUAAUAUAAAUACAUAAGCAAAUAAAUAAAAGCCUGGCUUUUGUUUUCAUUCUAUUACAAGGCUACACAGAGGUGGGCUGAAAGAGCAUUUAUUCCCCAG